UGGCCUGCACUGCAAAUGGGUCCUCGAAUGCGAUAUGUGCCACAGGGAAUAUGAAAUACAAAAUGUAAGAUCUGGAAGCAGUGUUAUAAACACGUCAGGCGCUUGGGCAGCCUUGUCAUCAGGAGUUGGUUUCUCUCAGUUUGAGAACACAUUAAGUGUGUUGAAUGUUCCUUCCAUGAGUCAAAACACAUUUCUCAAGGAAGAAUGCCUCAUAGAAAAGAUACUGGAAGCUGACUUGUACUCGAGCAUGAAAGAAGCGGGCAAGGAAGAAAGAGAACAAGCUAUUCGAAAUGGUGACAUCGAUGAUGACGGAAUCCCCUUCAUUACUGUGACCGUGGAUGGCGGAUGGGCCAAGCGUAGCUAUGGACACAACUACAACUCCUCAUCUGGGGUGGCAGUUAUAAUAGGCCAACAUACGGGAAAACUUCUCUUUAUGGGCGUCAGGAAUAAGUACUGUUGUAUUUGUGAACGAGCCAUUACAGAACAGAAGGAAGCGAAACAACACUUGUGUUAUAAAAAUUGGGGCAAAACAAGACCAUCAA